rnacentral:rRNA from 1 species
GACGAACGCUGCCGGCGCGCCUAACACAUGCAAGUCGAACGAGCGAGAGAGAGCUUGCUUUCUCGAGCGAGUGGCGAACGGGUGAGUAACGCGUGAGGAACCUGCCUCAAAGAGGGGGACAACAGUUGGAAACGACUGCUAAUACCGCAUAAGCCCACGGCUCGGCAUCGAGCAGAGGGAAAAGGAGCAAUCCGCUUUGAGAUGGCCUCGCGUCCGAUUAGCUGGUUGGUGAGGUAAUGGCCCACCAAGGCGACGAUCGGUAGCCGGACUGAGAGGUUGAACGGCCACAUUGGGACUGAGACACGGCCCAGACUCCUACGGGAGGCAGCAGUGGGGAAUAUUGCACAAUGGGGGAAACCCUGAUGCAGCGACGCCGCGUGGAGGAAGAAGGUCUUCGGAUUGUAAACUCCUGUUGUUGGGGAAGAUAAUGACGGUACCCAACAAGGAAGUGACGGCUAACUACGUGCCAGCAGCCGCGGUAAAACGUAGGUCACAAGCGUUGUCCGGAAUUACUGGGUGUAAAGGGAGCGCAGGCGGGAAGACAAGUUGGAAGUGAAAUCUAUGGGCUCAACCCAUAAACUGCUUUCAAAACUGUUUUUCUUGAGUAGUGCAGAGGUAGGCGGAAUUCCCGGUGUAGCGGUGGAAUGCGUAGAUAUCGGGAGGACACCAGUGGCGAAGGCGGCCUACUGGGCACCAACUGACGCUGAGGCUCG